AAGACUGGAGUUCCAGGGGUCGUUUCUACAGUUUCUUAUUACGGAAGUUUCUCUCAAUAUGUAGAGCAGCGAAAACCGGGAGGAAGAGGCGUAGUGUUCUGUUCUGAGUGCGAAGCGGUGUUUUGGCGUGGCUUCGGUGCGACUGCUGGCUGCGGUAGAUGGUCGUUUUUCUCUCCACUUUGGAGAGCAAAAGGGAGAGGACGCGGUCUGAGCGGU
ensembl:snoRNA U3 Small nucleolar RNA U3